rnacentral:rRNA from 1 species
GGUGAAAAGCACCCCGGAAGGGGAGUGAAAUAGAACCUGAAACCGUGUGCUUACAAGUAGUCAGAGCCCGUUAAUGGGUGAUGGCGUGCCUUUUGUAGAAUGAACCGGCGAGUUACGAUUUGAUGCAAGGUUAAGCAGUAAAUGUGGAGCCGUAGCGAAAGCGAGUCUGAAUAGGGCGUUUAGUAUUUGGUCGUAGACCCGAAACCAGGUGAUCUACCCUUGGUCAGGUUGAAGUUCAGGUAACACUGAAUGGAGGACCGAACCGACUUACGUUGAAAAGUGAGCGGAUGAACUGAGGGUAGCGGAGAAAUUCCAAUCGAACCUGGAGAUAGCUGGUUCUCUCCGAAAUAGCUUUAGGGCUAGCCUCAAGUGAUGAUUAUUGGAGGUAGAGCACUGUUUGGACGAGGGGCCCCUCUCGGGUUACCGAAUUCAGACAAACUCCGAAUGCCAAUUAAUUUAACUUGGGAGUCAGAACAUGGGUGAUAAGGUCCGUGUUCGAAAGGGAAACAGCCCAGACCACCAGCUAAGGUCCCAAAAUAUAUGUUAAGUGGAAAAGGAUGUGGCGUUGCCCAGACAACUAGGAUGUUGGCUUAGAAGCAGCCAUCAUUUAAAGAGUGCGUAAUAGCUCACUAGUCGAGUGACACUGCGCCGAAAAUGUACCGGGGCUAAACAUAUUACCGAAGCUGUGGAUUGUCCUUUGGACAAUGGUAGGAGAGCGUUCUAAGGGCGUUGAAGCAUGAUCGUAAGGACAUGUGGAGCGCUUAGAAGUGAGAAUGCCGGUGUGAGUAGCGAAAGACGGGUGAGAAUCCCGUCCACCGAUUGACUAAGGUUUCCAGAGGAAGGCUCGUCCGCUCUGGGUUAGUCGGGUCCUAAGCUGAGGCCGACAGGCGUAGGCGAUGGAUAACAGGUUGAUAUUCCUGUACCACCUAUAAUCGUUUUAAUCGAUGGGGGGACGCAGUAGGAUAGGCGAAGCGUGCGAUUGGAUUGCACGUCUAAGCAGUAAGGCUGAGUAUUAGGCAAAUCCGGUACUCAUUAAGGCUGAGCUGUGAUGGGGAGAAGACAUUGUGUCUUCGAGUCGUUGAUUUCACACUGCCGAGAAAAGCCUCUAGAUAGAAAAUAGGUGCCCGUACCGCAAACCGACACAGGUAGUCAAGAUGAGAAUUCUAAGGUGAGCGAGCGAACUCUCGUUAAGGAACUCGGCAAAAUGACCCCGUAACUUCGGGAGAAGGGGUGCUCUUUAGGGUUAACGCCCAGAAGAGCCGCAGUGAAUAGGCCCAAGCGACUGUUUAUCAAAAACACAGGUCUCUGCUAAACCGUAAGGUGAUGUAUAGGGGCUGACGCCUGCCCGGUGCUGGAAGGUUAAGAGGAGUGGUUAGCUUCUGCGAAGCUACGAAUCGAAGCCCCAGUAAACGGCGGCCGUAACUAUAACGGUCCUAAGGUAGCGAAAUUCCUUGUCGGGUAAGUUCCGACCCGCACGAAAGGCGUAACGAUUUGGGCACUGUCUCAACGAGAGACUCGGUGAAAUCAUAGUACCUGUGAAGAUGCAGGUUACCCGCGACAGGACGGAAAGACCCCGUGGAGCUUUACUGUAGCCUGAUAUUGAAAUUCGGCACAGCUUGUACAGGAUAGGUAGGAGCCUUUGAAACGUGAGCGCUAGCUUACGUGGAGGCGCUGGUGGGAUACUACCCU